UGGGGUGUGGCUCAGUGGUAGAGUACUUGUCUAACAUGUGCAAGACCUUGGGUUUGAUCCCAAUAUAGCAA
rnacentral:tRNA from 1 species